GACGAACGCUGGCGGCGUGCUUAACACAUGCAAGUCGAGCGGAAAGGCCCUUUCGGGGGUACUCGAGCGGCGAACGGGUGAGUAACGCGUGAGUAAUCUGCCCUUGGCUUUGGGAUAACCACCGGAAACGGUGGCUAAUACCGGAUAUGACGCGCCCCGGCAUCGGGGUGUGUGGAAAGUUUUUUCGGCCAGGGAUGUGCUCGCGGCCUAUCAGCUUGUUGGUGGGGGAAUGGCCUACCAAGGCUUCGACGGGUAGCCGGGCUGAGAGGGGGGCCGGCCACACUGGGACUGAGACACGGCCCGGACUCCUACGGGAGGCAGCAGUGGGGAAUAUUGGACAAUGGGCGGAAGCCUGAUCCAGCAACGCCGCGUGAGGGAUGACGGCCUUCGGGUUGUAAACCUCUUUCAGUACCGACGAAGCGCCGAUGAUGGUGGUGACGGUAGGUACAGAAGAAGCACCGGCCAACUACGUGCCAGCCGCCGCCGUAA
rnacentral:rRNA from 1 species